ensembl:lncRNA LOC120101758 uncharacterized LOC120101758
GUUAUUCUGUACCUUUGUAGGCUCACACAUAGAGAUUAGGUGGGUACUGGGGCCAACCCAUCUCCCUGUGAGUACUUUCUGUAAGUGGCUUCCUGACCUUGGGCAAGAUGCUUAGCCCUUCUGGGCUUCUGUAUCCUCAAGUGUAUAUCAGAACACUAGGAAUUCCUACGGCUUAUAGCUCUUGGGAGGAGUGACAGACAAAUGCCCGUGGAAGGGCUUAGGUGAGGUUGGAGAGGUGACUGGGGAGCGAAGAGUGCAGCAGUCUGCCUUCAGACGAUGGGCUCAUUCAUGCACCCCAUCUCAGGGGCUCACAACCUCCUGUAACUCCAGUUCCAGGACCUCAAGCCUCCACACAAGUGAACAACCCCAAACCCAGGAGACUGCGGAGAAAUGAUCUGCCCAUUCCUAUAAUUGGAAGAUGGAGUCAGGAAGCUUAGAAUUUCAAGGCCAGCCUCAGCUAAACGGGGAGUUCAAGAGCAUGUAGUUCUAUACAAACAACACCCUGUCUCAAAAAAAAAAAAAAAUUAAAACCAAAACCAAACCAAAAGAAAACCCAAAGCAUUUGGGAGAAAGAGGCACAAUCAGGUGGAUCUCUAUGACCAGGGUGGUCUACAUGUUGAGUCUCAGGCCAGCCAGGACUACACGGUGAGAUCCUUUCUCAAAGAGCCAACAAGCAAGCAGAUGCGGACAUCUUCUGAAAGACUCAGAUACAAUCUCCCAGCAGUGAAUGCUGUGUUUGGGUCCCUGGUCUUGGAGGUGCACAGGUGGUUCCAUGCUCUUGGACUUAACAGUUUGAUGCUCCCUCCGGGCUGGGAAUGCCCCAUACAAUGCCUAACUGGAAAGAGCAAGUCUCAAACAUUCAGCAUUUAGAAACCACCUGGAGGCACUUUGGGCCAUGGAGCCAGCCACGCUAGCUCCAAAUGCUUGGAUUCAAAGGACAGAAACAAAGAGUAAACAGUAUCCAGCCCUUUUCAAACAACAGUCCAGCUGCUUCCUUCCUUCCUUCCUUUCCCUCUUCUUUUUCCUUUUCCUUUUCCUUUUUCUGAGACAGGCUCUGACUAUGUCACCCUAGCUGGGCUUGAACUCAGGGAGAUCUAUCUGCCUCUACCUCCUAUAUACUAGUAUUGAAAGUGUGUACCACCAC